rnacentral:rRNA from 1 species
UACGUAGGCAGCGAGCGUUGUUCGGAAUUACUGGGCGUAAAGAGUGUGUAGGCGGUGCUCCCAGUCUGUUGUGAAAUCUCCCGGCUUAACUGGGAGGGUGCAGCGGAAACUAGAGUGCUAGAGGGUGGGAGAGGUAAGCGGAAUUCCUGGUGUAGCGGUGAAAUGCGUAGAUAUCAGUCGGAACACCAAUGGCGAAGGCAGCUACCUGGCCUAAAAACUGACGCUGAGGUGCGAAAGCGUGGGGAGCGAACGGG